GAUGAAGAACGCAGCGAAAUGCGAUAAGUAGUGUGAAUUGCAGAAUUCAGUGAAUCAUCGAAUCUUUGAACGCACAUUGCGCCCCUUGGUAUUCCAUGGGGCAUGCCUGUUCGAGCGUCAUUUGUACCUUCAAGCUCUGCUUGGUGUUGGGUGUUUGUCUCGCCUCUGCGUGUAGACUCGCCUUAAAACAAUUGGCAGCCGGCGUAUUGAUUUCGGAGCGCAGUACAUCUCGCGCUUUGCACUCAUAACGACGACGUCCAAAAGUACAUUUUUACACUCUUGACCUCGGAUCAGGUAGGGAUACCCGCUGAACUUAAGCAUAUCAUAAGCGGAGGA
rnacentral:misc_RNA from 1 species